GGAGGGCUGGUGAACCUGUAAUAGUUAGAAAUGCACAAGCUAAGGCCUCUGGUCUUAGCUGGGAGCCAAUGGUAAUGUGGAGGGCCUUCAGAAAAGCAAGUAAAAAGCUGAAAGAGGAGCAUUUCUCUGUCAUGUCCAUUGAUUGCUUGGAUUGGUGUCAGGUUCAGAUAAAUAUUCAUCAGUUCUUCAAGGGCUACUUGGAGGGUCGCAGGCAUCACAAUGGGUGGCCAGAAAUUUUAAAACUGAAGGAUUGGCCUCCGGCUAAUACUUUUGAAGAAUGUUUGCCGAGGCAUGGAGCUGACUUUUUUGCUAUGCUUCCGUUUAGCGAAUACACUCAUCCUAGAAAAGGUCUUCUAAAUUUGGCCACUAAGCUCCCCGAUACUGCCUUGAAGCCAGACUUGGGACCUAAAACUUAUAUUGCUUAUGGAUAUCAAGAAGAGCUUGGAAGAGGUGAUUCUGUCACUAAGUUGCAUUGUGAUAUCUCUGAUGCGGUCAACAUAUUGACUCAUACAACCAAAGCAAAAGUUGAUCACAAUCAACGUGAAAUCAUUGAAAAACUAAGGAAGCAACAAGAGGUUGAAGAUUCAAAGGAACAUUGUCCAGGCAUAGCUGAGGCUCCGGAUU
rnacentral:misc_RNA from 1 species